rnacentral:rRNA from 1 species
GACAGAGGGGCAAGCGUUGUCCGGACUAACUGGGCGUAAAGCGCGCGCAGGCGCGUCGGGCGUCGGUGCUGAAAGUCCACCGCUUAACGGUGGAUAGCGUGCCGAUACGCCGACGCUGGAGGGUGGGCGAGGGUGGUGGAAUUGCCGGUGUAGUGGUGAAAUGCGUAGAGAUCGGCAGGAACACCCGUGGCGGAAGCGGCCACCCUAGCCCGCA